GCCUAUAUAGCUCAGUUGGUAGAGUGCAGCCUUGGUAAGGCUGAGGUCACCGGUUCAAUCCCGGCUGUAGGCU
rnacentral:tRNA from 1 species